rnacentral:lncRNA from 1 species
GCAUGGCGUGCUGUGGUGCAGGUGGCCGAAGGGGGCGUUACUGUUGCGACUGGCAUCCGCAUCCGGCAGAUGUAGAUGGAACCAAAGUCCAGAAGUUACGCGUCACCCUUGCUCUACAGCCAAACAUGCAGGACUCUAGUAACCCGCGAAAUGAUGGGAUAGCGUUGCAAAUCCUUAAAAGAGUCUUAACGAAAUCCUGGCUGACAUUGACUUCUCCACUGCAACCAUCGAGUUCAUUGUCUCCUAAACCUUGCCAUGGAGGCCUGUGGCACCUGAGCCAGCCAUUAUCAUCACCAGCACUUCCAUGAGCUACAAGCUGGACCCACUGCAGUCCUCCUGACACACUGAAAUCAGAGCCUGCACACAGAGCAGCAGAUGCUUCAAUGUAAAGGUCAUUUCCAGGUCCUUGACAGGCGUGCAUCUGGGCCAGAUCCAUGGCAAUAACCUUCAGGUUGAGGCUAGAGGGCUUCAGAUGGGCAGCUUCGAAUGACAGGAGCAAGGCACAAGAGGCCGGAAAGGGAGGGUGACAUUUUCAGCAUCUAUAAGAUCAACUUUAGAAACAUUUGGGGGUUGACAAAUUCCCAUCAAGCUCUGUGGAUCUUGUACAACUGCUCACCACCGGCUUCUCAUCAGCACAUGAUUGGUGCAGGGUUCUGAGGAUGAUUUUGAGAUGUUCCCUGAUGUGGUCUUGUGAGGAGAUUUCAUGACAGAUGGCAGGAAGCUUCGUGGAGAGAUUUCUGAAGACACUCCUGAGCUCCCAACACCGGGCAACUCUCUUCCAGAGGAUAGUGGGGUGGAGGGUAGAAGAGAGGCAAAGUCAGGUUUGUCCUUCGGAUCCCCUUCAUUCUCCUUUUGCCACCGUAAACCAACUUUUGCUUACAGUUAGACACCAGUUUUCGGCAGAUGAAAUCCCUCUGAUUUCAGGCAUUUUGUCAAUUAAGCUGCUCAGCAACAAUAGGAUAAACUUAUGAAAAGAAAGGAGUAGCAGUCCCACAGACAAAGCAUCCAGCCCCUGCACUGAGACAGUAUAGGGAAGGGACUUGGUCCUGGCAGACAGGACAGAUAAUCAACAUCCUAGUGGGCCUUACACAUGUGGGCAUAUUCUUUUCCAUACCUUCUUGUCUGUUUUAACAAGCUAACCCCAGUCACAGUAGCAGAGAGAGGGUCCAUCCUAACUUAGCUGACCAGGCUGGAUUCCUAAUCAUAAAACCAAAAAAGGAAGAACCUAACCAUUUCUCUCUUUCAGCUAUGUGUUCCAAGAUUACUGAAGCAGGAUUCUGGCCUUCCUGAUAAGAACAUGACCAGAUCCAGCUGGUUUGCAACAAGAUGAACUUCAGUGCUGAGCUUUCACCAAGUUUUUCUCACUACAAUCUCAUUGUAAUACUAAAAUCUCCACCCAAGAUGGAGGUUAUCUGCCAUUUUCUGUACAUGUGUUACCAGAAAGGGGUCCUGAUCCAGACCCCAAAAGAGGGUUCUUGGAUCUCACGCAACAAAGAGUUCGGGGCGAGUCCAUAGAGUAAAGUGAAAGCAAGUUCAUCAAGAAAGCAAAGGAAUAAAGAAUGCCUACUCCAUAGGCAGAGCAGUGGCUUUGGCUGCUCAGCUGCUUGUACUUGUUACUUCUUGAGUAUAUGCUAAACAAGGGAUUGAUUACUCCUUGUUUAGCAGUUUUCUGGGAAAGGAGUGGGCAAUUCCCAGAACUGAGGGUUCCUCCCCUUUUUAGACCAUAUAGGGUGACUUCCUGAUGUUGCCAUGGCAUUUGUAAACUGUCAUGGCGCUAGUGGGAGUGUCUUUUAGCAUGCUAAUGCAUGAGCAGUGAGGAUGACCCGAGGUCAUUUUUGUUACCAUCUUGGUUUUGGUGGGUUUUGGCUGGUUUUGGCCGGCUUCUUUACCACUUCUUUUUAUCAGCAAGGUCUUUGUGACCUGUACUUAGUGCCGACUUCCUGUCUCAUCCUGUGAGUAAGAAUGCCUAAUCUCUCAGGAAUGCAGCCCAGUAGGUCUCAACCUUAUUUUACCCAGCCCCCAUUCAAGAUGGAGUGACUCUGGUUCAAAUGCCUCUGACACAUGUGCCUCAUGUUUGGGCAUGAGACCUCACUGUGUAGGUGCAGAGAAGACCCUGCCUAAACAUUGCCUACACGUUGCUCCUUUUUCCUGCCUCAACUUCCUUAAAAUGACAAGAGCAGAGCCCUUUUGGGAGCUAACAUCAGGACUCCUUUUCUGUACUCUGCUCCGUUGUGCUGCUAGAGCCACAAGCCUAUUAAACUUUGCCUGAAAUAAAUUCCUAUUUGCGCUGGUGUUAAUUUUUACUUAUGAGUGAGCCAAGAACUCAGGCCAGAGUUGCGGUAACACCACCAGAAGAGGUCUCCGCUUGUCAGACUUGAGGGAUAUCAUCAAUGAGCCUCUGAGCUAAUGGUGUAAACCAAAAAUAAAAUUCUAAGCCCCCCGCCAGCCAAACCAUCUGAAU